AUGCGGGAAGGAGAGACGAAGCCUUUUCCUUGUACAACAAAAGACUAUUAUAUCAAUGUUCGGUGCACUAAUAGAAGAAUAUUUCUGAGUACAUGUUGUCCCACAGCUGACAUUUUUUAUGAAGUGUGCAGAGUAUUCAGAGAACCCAACUGACAACACGACCUUUCUGAAACUCUUCAACCAGAACCUGCAGAGCAACAACAAAAC